UACAGGGGGGGCAAGCGUUGUUCGGAAUUACUGGGCGUAAAGGGUGCGUAGGCGGGUCUUUAAGUCAGGGGUGAAAUCCUGGAGCUCAACUCCAGAACUGCCUUUGAUACUGAGGAUCUUGAGUUCGGGAGAGGUGAGUGGAACUGCGAGUGUAGAGGUGAAAUUCGUAGAUAUUCGCAAGAACACCAGUGGCGAAGGCGGCUCACUGGCCCGAUACUGACGCUGAGGCACGAAAGCGUGGGGAGCAAACAGG
rnacentral:rRNA from 1 species